rnacentral:rRNA from 1 species
CUUGAACGCUGGCGGCAGGCCUAACACAUGCAAGUCGAGCGAGCGGCGGACGGGUGAGUAAUGUAUGGGGACUGCCCGAUAGAGGGGGAUUACUUCUGGAAACGGUGGCUAAUACCGCAUACUGUAGGAUAACCCAUAUGGGAUUGGAUAGUAGGUAAGGUAAUGGCUUACCUAGGCGACGAUCCCUAGCUGGGCUGUGAGGAUGAUCAGCCACACUGGGACGGAGACACGGCCCAGACUCCUACGGAGGCAGCAGUGGGGAAUAUUGCACAAUGGGCGCAAGCCUGAUGCAGCCAUGCCGCGUGUAUGAAGAAGGCCCUAGGGUUGUAAAGUACUUUCAGUCGGGAGGCGUUACCGACAGAAGAAGCACCGGCUAACUCCGUGCCAGCAGCCGCGGUAAUUC